GGAAUUUUGGGCAAUGGGCGAAAGCCUGACCCAGCAACGCCGCGUGAAGGAUGAAAUCCUUCGGGAUGUAAACUUCGCAAGAACGGGAAGAAUAAGUAAGAGUUAAUAUCUCUUACGAUGACGGUACUGUUUGUAAGCUCCGGCUAACUCCGUGCCAGCAGCCGCGGUAAUACGUAGGGACCAAGCGUUAUUCGGAUUUACUGGGCGUAAAGGGCGCGUAGGCGGCGCGGUAAGUCACUUGUGAAAUCUCUGAGCUUAACUCAGAACGGCCAAGUGAUACUGCAGUGCUAGAGUGUGGAAGGGGCAAUCGGAAUUCUUGGUGUAGCGGUGAAAUGCGUAGAUAUCAAGAGGAACACCUGAGGUGAAGACGGGUUGCUGGGCCAACACUGACGCUGAGGCGCGAAAGCCAGGGGAGCAAA
rnacentral:rRNA from 1 species